rnacentral:rRNA from 1 species
CCUACGGGAGGCAGCAGUGGGGAAUUUUGGACAAUGGGCGCAAGCCUGAUCCAGCUAUUCCGCGUGUGGGAUGACGGCCUUCGGGUUGUAAACCACUUUUGUAGAGAACGAAAAGUCUGUUGAUAAUACCGAUAGAUGAUGACGGUACUCUAAGAAUAAGCACCGGCUAACUACGUGCCAGCAGCCGCGGUAAUACGUAGGGUGCGAGCGUUAAUCGGAAUUACUGGGCGUAAAGGGUGUGCAGGCGGUUUUUCAAGAUGGAUGUGAAAGCCCCGGGCUUAACCUGGGAAAGGCAUACCUGACUGGAAGACUAGAGUGCGUCAGAGGGGGGUGGAAUUCCAGGUGUAGCAGUGAAAUGCGUAGAUAUUUGGAAGAACACCGAUGGCGAAGGCAGCCCCCUGGGACGCAACUGACGCUCAUACACGAAAGCGUGGGGAGCAAACAGGAUUAGAUACCCUUGUAGUC